rnacentral:rRNA from 1 species
UACGUAGGGUGCGAGCGUUAAUCGGAAUUACUGGGCGUAAAGCGUGCGCAGGCGGUUUUGUAAGCCAGAUGUGAAAGCCCCGGGCUUAACCUGGGAAUGGCAUUUGGGACUGCAAGGCUUGAGUGCGGCAGAGGAGACUGGAAUUCCUGGUGUAGCAGUGAAAUGCGUAGAUAUCAGGAGGAAUACCGGUGGCGAAGGCGGUUCUCUGGGCAUUACCUGACGCUGAGGAGCGAAAGCGUGGGGAUCAAACAGG